CCUACGGGAGGCAGCAGUGGGGAAUAUUGCGCAAUGGGGGAAACCCUGACGCAGCGACGCCGCGUGAGCGAAGAAGGCCUUAGGGUCGUAAAGCUCUGUUGUAAGGGACGAAUGUUCACUUUGCGAACAGUUAAGUGAAAUGACGGUACCUUACCAGCAAGCCCCGGCUAACUACGUGCCAGCAGCCGCGGUAAU
rnacentral:rRNA from 1 species